AGUGAUGAUGCCGUACGUAGGAAGGAUCAUUA
rnacentral:rRNA from 1 species